rnacentral:sRNA from 1 species
GUUGGUUAUGGAGACAUGUAUCCAGAGGGCGUUCUAGGAAAGCUUGUCGGAAGUAUGACUGUGCUGAUGGGACUUCUAGCAAUUGCACUCCCUGUACCUGUUAUUGUUACAAAU